rnacentral:rRNA from 1 species
UAGGGAAUAUUGCGCAAUGGACGAAAGUCUGACGCAGCCACGCCGCGUGAGUGAGGAAGGCCUUCGGGUUGUAAAGCUCUGUCGCCUGGGAAAAACGGCUAUCCGGGGAAAGUUCGGGUAGCGUGAUGGUACCAGGAAAGGAAGCACCGGCAAACUCUGUGCCAGCAGCCGCGGUAAUACAGAGGGUGCAAGCGUUGUUCGGAAUUAUUGGGCGUAAAGGGUGCGUAGGUUGUUUGAUAAGAUAUAUGUGAAAUACUUGGGCUCAACCUGGGAAGGUCAUAUAAGACUGUCAGACUCGAGUAUGGGAGAGGGUAGAGGAAUUUCCGGUGUAGCGGUGAAAUGCGUAGAUAUCGGAAGGAACAUCGGUGGCGAAGGCGUCUACCUGGCCUAAUACUGACACUGAGGCACGAAAGCGUGGGGAGCAAACAGGAUUAGAUACCCUGGUAGUCCCUGAGCGGGCUGGCAAGGCGCAU